AAAUAUGGUCACUGAUCAUCAGUCAUUGUAAUAAGUCUGCAAUAACUGAUUGCAGACUUAUUUGUACAAUGACUGAUGAUCAGUGACCAUAUUGA